rnacentral:rRNA from 1 species
GACGAACGCUGGCGGCGUGCCUAAUACAUGCAAGUCGAACGAACUCUGGUAUCGAUUGGUGCUUGCAUCAUGAUUUACAUUUGAGUGAGUGGCGAACUGGUGAGUAACGCGUGGGAAACCUGCCCAGAAGCGGGGGAUAACACCUGGAAACAGAUGCUAAUACCGCAUAACAACUUGGACCGCAUGGUCCGAGUUUGAAAGAUGGCUUCGGCUAUCACUUUUGGAUGGUCCCGCGGCGUAUUAGCUAGAUGGUGAGGUAACGGCUCACCAUGGCAAUGAUACGUAGCCGACCUGAGAGGGUAAUCGGCCACAUUGGGACUGAGACACGGCCCAAACUCCUACGGGAGGCAGCAGUAGGGAAUCUUCCACAAUGGACGAAAGUCUGAUGGAGCAACGCCGCGUGAGUGAAGAAGGGUUUCGGCCCGUAAAACUCUGUUGUUAAAGAAGAACAUAUCUGAGAGUAACUGUUCAGGUAUUGACGGUAUUUAACCAGAAAGCCACGGCUAACUACGUGCCAGCAGCCGCAGUAA